CGGAAGUGCGCGGGGCCCCCCAAGAUGGCGCCCGAAACCCGGAAGUGAGCGGCGACCGCCAAGAGGCUCGGAGAAACUGAGGCGUUGCAAGCUCCGCGUCUGGCCGCACCCGGCUCCGAGAAUGGCCUCCUGCAUUGUCCCUGGUGGAGUAGCUUCUCACCGCCGUCCUACCCAGGCUUCUCCAGUGACAGCCACGUGUUCUCGAGCUCGGCCUCCUUCCUGGGUGGCCAGCCCUGCCCCGAUGCCAGCUAUGCUACCACAGCCACCGCCCCUAGCUACCUGUCCAAGAGUGGCACCUUUCCUCAGGUAAGGGACGGCAGUGUGCACCUGGGGACGAUGACCUCAGCUUGGCCUCAAGCAGGGUGCGAUGGGGCGCAGGGAGACAGCUGGCUUUGUUACCUGGCCCUGAGAGCCCGAGUUUCCUGCGUUGGGAGGAGGCAGCUAGCUUCUCCAUUAGACAAGAGCCGAGAGCACUGCAGAGGGCAGCCGUGUACACAGAUGGCCUGCAGCGGCUGCAGGCCAUCCCUGGGCCACACUGUCCUCACUCACAUUGGAACCACUGCCUGGACUGUGGGGCAUGUGAGGGAGGUCUCAACUUCAAGCCCCACCCCCAGCCCUGAGCAGUGUAUCGACUUAGCAAGACCCUGUCUCCAAAUAAACCAAAUGAAGGCCCUGGUUCAGUCUCCAGUGCCUGUGGGGAGAAGAGGGUGAAAGGCCGAGAGAGGCUGAAGAUGCCGCACUGCAGGUGCAGGAAGGGGCCAAGGGCCAAGGGCCAAGGGCUGCAGGGGCCUCUAGGAGCGAGGAUGGG
ensembl:lncRNA